rnacentral:rRNA from 1 species
AUUGAACGCUGGCGGAAUGCUUUACACAUGCAAGUCGAGCGGCAGCACGGGGGCAACCCUGGUGGCGAGCGGCGAACGGGUGAGUAACACAUCGGAACGCGUCCUGUAAUGGGGGAUAACGCACCGAAAGGUGUGCUAAUACCGCAUACGCCCUGAGGGGGAAAGCGGGGGAUCGUAAGACCUCGCGCGUCUGGAGCGGCCGAUGGCAGAUUAGGUAGUUGGUGGGGUAAAGGCUUACCAAGCCUACGAUCUGUAGCUGGUCUGAGAGGACGACCAGCCACACUGGGACUGAGACACGGCCCAGACUCCUACGGGAGGCAGCAGUGGGGAAUUUUGGACAAUGGGCGCAAGCCUGAUCCAGCCAUUCCGCGUGCAGGAUGAAGGCCCUCGGGUUGUAAACUGCUUUUGUACGGAACGAAAAGGCUCUCUCUAAUACAGGGGGCUCAUGACGGUACCGUAAGAAUAAGCACCGGCUAACUACGUGCCAGCAGCCGCGGU